GGGCUGGGUGCCUGAUGUCACCCGCGGUCCGCAGUGAUGAGGCUGCGGAGAUCCUCGCGGUCUGUGCCGCUGCUGCCUGCAAUGUCACCAAUGACAGAGCAGACAAGAGGCAACGAUACCACAAGCCGAGGGCUCCUGGACAGCUUGGCUGCAUAGGACUUUUCCCCUACCACCUAGAUUCUGCUCUCAGUCACCACAAGCAUCAGGCCCCAGAGACACCGGAAGGUAGGAGUUCUUUUCCAAAUCCUUCUGACCUGCAGGAAACCCAACACUGAUCAGCCAUGAGAAAAAACUGCAGCACAGGCCUCCAGCAUCUUGGACGUGUCAGAAGUUGAACUGUGCAGGUAGGAGCUCUUUUCCAAAUCCUUCUGACCUGCAGUUAACCCAACACUGAUCAGCCAUGAGAAAAAACUGCAGCACAGGCCUCCAGCAUCUUGGACGUGUCAGAAGUUGAACUGUGCAGGUAGGAGCUCUUUUCCAAAUCCAUCUGACCUGCAGGAAACCCAACACUGAUCAGCGAGGAGAAAAAACAGCAGCACAGGCCGCCAGCAUCUUGGAAGUGGCAGAAGUUGAACUAAGCAGACCCUCAUCAUGGAACGUCUUAAAGGGGAACCCCGCCUCCCCAUGCUGGAAAUCAGGAUUACCCAGACACCGUAGAAACAGAGAAUUGUGUCUCCCUAAAUUUCUGGACCUUCUCAAGGAGUGCCAGAGGCGAUAUACCGACCAUAGAAGAGGAUUAUCUUGUAGGUCCCGAUCACAAUCCCCCUCCAGGCAGUGGAGAAAGUUUGUUAAGUUUUUAGAUUUUAGGAACUGUGUCUCAAGUUGUGUGUUUGCAUAUGUGUCUGUGUCAUUUAACCAAUCUCUCAAAAACCUCAAUAAAGAUGCUUGGUUAUACAAUAAAA